rnacentral:rRNA from 1 species
AUGUCACCUGCAUAUCAAGUGGAUGAAGAUCUGGCUGUCAAUAAUCAAGAUGGCAGUGAUAGUAGUCCUGAUGGGAUUCAGAAAAAAGGAAAAGGCAAGAACUGGAGUAAGCGUGAGGAUGAACUUCUCAUAGCAGCUUGGGUGCACAAUUCAUGUGAUCCGAUUGAUGGAAACUCCAAAAGGGCAGAGACCUAUUGGAAGGAAGUCGCAGCAGAGUACAACAAAUAUGCAACAAAAGAGCAGAAGAAAACAGUUGGGCAAUGCAAGAACCACUGGACCAAGACCACAAAGAAGGUUACAAAGUUCAAUGGUAUCUACAAUGUUGAAAAAAGUACAUGGCCUAGUGGGAGCGAUGACAAGCAACUUAUGGAGAGGGUACGUGCCAAAUACAUGAGUGUUGCCAAGACAAAAAGACCCUUUCCAUAUGAGCACUAG